rnacentral:rRNA from 1 species
AUUGAACGCUGGCGGCAUGCCUUACACAUGCAAGUCGAACGGUAACGGGCCUUCGGGUGCCGACGAGUGGCGAACGGGUGCGUAAUACAUCGGAACGUGCCCGAUCGUGGGGGAUAACGAGGCGAAAGCUUUGCUAAUACCGCAUACGAUCUACGGAUGAAAGCAGGGGACCGCAAGGCCUUGCGCGGACGGAGCGGCCGAUGGCAGAUUAGGUAGUUGGUGGGAUAAAAGCUUACCAAGCCGACGAUCUGUAGCUGGUCUGAGAGGAUGAUCAGCCACACUGGGACUGAGACACGGCCCAGACUCCUACGGGAGGCAGCAGUGGGGAAUUUUGGACAAUGGGCGCGAGCCUGAUCCAGCCAUGCCGCGUGCAGGAUGAAGGCCUUCGGGUUGUAAACUGCUUUUGUACGGAACGAAAAGCCUUCUUUUAAUACAGGAGGGUCAUGACGGUACCGUAAGAAUAAGCACCGGCUAACUACGUG